CCCGCCACUGCAGCAGUUUUAUUUCCUAACUGCCUACAGUCCAGUGGUGCGCUAAGAACACUCUCCAUCUUAGGAAACAGGUGCAUUCUGGGUGUGAGUGAACCUGUGCCGAAAGACUGGAAACAAGA
rnacentral:snoRNA from 1 species